rnacentral:rRNA from 1 species
GAGUUUGAUCGUGGCUCAGGAUGAACGCUAGCGGCAGGCUUAACACAUGCAAGUCGAGGGGUAUAGGUUUUCGGACCUAGAGACCGGCGCACGGGUGCGUAACGCGUAUGCAAUCUACCUUUUACAGAGGGAUAGCCCAGAGAAAUUUGGAUUAAUACCUCAUAGUAUUAUGAUAAGGCAUCUUAUUAUAUUAAAGUUCCAACGGUAAAGAUGAGCAUGCGUCCCAUUAGCUAGAUGGUAAGGUAACGGCUUACCAUGGCGACGAUGGGUAGGGGUCCUGAGAGGGAGAUCCCCCACACUGGUACUGAGACACGGACCAGACUCCUACGGGAGGCAGCAGUGAGGAAUAUUGGUCAAUGGGCGCAAGCCUGAACCAGCCAUGCCGCGUGCAGGAUGACGGUCCUAUGGAUUGUAAACUGCUUUUGUACAGGAAGAAACAGUUCUACGUGUAGAACCUUGACGGUACUGUAAGGAUAAGGAUCGGCUAACUCCGUGCCAGCAG